rnacentral:rRNA from 1 species
UAUCUCUGUAGAGUCUGCAUAUCAAUAAGCGGAGGAAAAGAAACUAACAAGGAUUCCCCUAGUAACGGCGAGUGAAGCGGGAAGAGCUCAAAUUUGAAAUCUUCAAGGUUUGACCUUGACGAAUUGUAGUUUAAAGAAGUGUUUUCGGUUAGAGGAGUAGUAAAAGUUCUUUGGAAUAGGACAUCAUAGAGGGUGAGAAUCCCGUAUUUGACUAUUCUUUCUAGCUUUGUGAUACACUUUCAAAGAGUCGGAUUGUUUGGGAAUGCAGUCCAAAAUGGGUGGUAAAUUUCAUCUAAAGCUAAAUAUUGGCGAGAGACCGAUAGCGAACAAGUACCGUGAGGGAAAGAUGAAAAGAACUUUGAAAAGAGAGUUAAACAGUACGUGAAAUUGUCAAAAGGGAAGCGUUUGACACCAGUGUUGUUUUCUCGAAAAUCAAUUAAAAAAGACUGGAUUUUGUGUUGUAUUGACUUUAUCAGCUUUCUGCACUCUUUUCUUGUCUUUUUUAAUGCACUUUUCGUUUAACAAGUCAACAUCAAUUUCUUUUGUUGUAAAAGGGUCAUUGGAAGGUGGCUUUCUCUUCGGAGAAAGUGUUUAUAGCCUUUAGGCUCUGCAAUCGGAGAGAUUGAGGUCUGCAGCGUAGAUCCUUCGGGGUUAGAUACAUUUGUGCUAAGCUAUAGCCUUGUAUAGACAACUUGUUGACUAUGCUCAGUCAUGUAGCUUACUCGCUAAGUGCUAUUUUACCUACGCUUAGGAUGUUGAGCGCAUGUCUCUCUCU